CCUUUUCCCUCUUAUUAUAAAACGCGGUAUCAAAUAAGUAUCGGCUUUUGUACUACCUUUAAUCCAGCUGUAAGUACGACCUUGAAAAAACGUUAUUACAAAACGCAGUUUAUCGCAAGUCCUAUUACUAUCUGUAGUACAAAAGAUAAACCAUCGAGCCCCCUAGUUUAACUGCAGUACUUAGUCGACAAACGUCAAAUUCCGUCAUUAUUUACUUUUGAGGUUAUUUGUUUUGUGAUGAAAAAAACGAAAGUGGAUAUAAAUAUGUGUGAUUUGGAAUACUUGGAUGUGUUAGAAUACUAUUGAGAGUGUCCGGGGUCCCAACAGUGUGCGUCAUCGACAAAAUCUCUUCAAAUUAUCUGACGACAAUUUUCGAUAUAAAUAUCGAUUUAUGUUUUUCGAAAUAAUAGUCAAUUGAAUGCAUGAUGAUAAUCCAUGAUGAUCCUAUGAUGCUCAACUGGGCUCGCCAUAAGGUACGUAGCCUUUACAGGGCAAAUUCAAGACUAUUUUGGCGUUUUGCACGCCGUAUCUUUGCCAGUAAUAUACAAUGUUUGUAAAAGACUGGAAGCUUGCUAAAAUGCAGGUACAAAAAUGCCAAGAUGAGCAAGGGAACAAGAUUGUGUGAUGAAGAACAGUGUCCAACAUGUAUCAGUGCGUUUGACUGUAUAAAUAGACAUCGGAAUAAAAUAUAAACUUGUACUUUUAUGUUGUUUCAUUUUCUUUUGGUAAUUUAAUGCACACGAUAUUCUGUGUGUAAGUUAUUGUGCACUUAAUUUUGAAGAGGUUCUAAUUAGAUGCACAACGUCUUAUUCAAUCAUUUAAAACGGGAUGAAAAUAAUCCAAGUUAUUUCUAACCUAAAAACAAAACAUAACUCGGAUACGCGCACUGACGUUCCGUUAUACGCGCAAACUCGAUAGUUGUAUAAAAGAGAAUAAUUGGAUCAUGUAUAUCGUUAAAAGAUACUAGAAAUAUAAAAUUACCUUUAAAUAAUAAAAAGUAAUAUUUUCAACUGCAGAGACAUUUUUUUUAUUAUCAUAGUUAUAAAUUUUUCAUCAAAAUAGACUUAACAAAAUAAUGUAAAAAGGAACGGCGCACAGAAUUCGGAACGAUUGAACGAAUGAUUUAAAUAUUUGUUGCUUAUAAUCUGUGGAUAUUAUUUGAACCACACACACACAGAGACAAAUCGAAGUACUAAACCGUCUUCUCUUAGUCUACGUUUUGUAAUAAGGAUGUAAAGACUAUCGUAAGUACCGUAACAAACCAAGACGUCUUCAGUCUGGUUUAAACCACUACUUGCGGCAGUUUUUAUAAUAAGAGGGCAUG
rnacentral:lncRNA from 1 species